UCACCUGUACGUGCAGGUAAGCAUACACCAGUCAUAGUGAACGUGCAAAAAAUUACUAAAUACAGUAACAAACACAUGCAGGUGUUUUGUUUGCUUAUCAGUCUGUACCUACAUCAAGCUUGGCAUCAUUCAAUGCUAUCUGGCAUUUACUUUCUCUCUCCGCCGACCGUGCGCAAAGACACAUUGUCUUUGUCCCUGGUGAAUCUUAUUUUGGGUACAUCGCUGACGCUUUCUUGAGGGCUGAACUUUGCCCACACCCUCCUCAUACACUUCCAGCGCUCGUUGACGCCGUGUCCUCAUGGUUGUCUCCCAGCUCCCCGCGGAGGCGUGCCCACGCCGCUCAAAUACAGCGCCGCAGACGCGCGUCUGACUCAUUGGGUUUGUCAGAGCGUACAGUGAGGUAAGCAGAGCCGCGCUGCCCACGCCGAGGAGAACAUGCGAUUGUCUCGAACCAUAUCCACUCCCGACAUAGAGACACAGCGCGUUCGUCUCAGUGUAUAGUGAAGCGCCUUUGCCGAUUUAGGAGAGAAAAGUUUUAGGAGGUGACAAAAGCUACGACGGUUUGGACGUCUACUUUCCAUCCAGCUGUUUGUGGAGGACGCAUGAUUUACCUGUGCCGGACCAAAAGCGAAGAUUGCAUGAAAGAUCUCAAGGCUAUACUGAGUUGCACCACACUGGGAGGCUUACUGGAUAAGCAGGAGAAGUAUCCCUGUGACUCCAAAAAAGUGUCUCCGCUUCUAUCUUCUCCCACGAUGGCCCUGGCCUCCUUCCAUCUGAUGCAAACUCUAAAGAACUCUCCGGCGGCUCUGCGUCGGCGAUUCCGUCGCGACCGAACAGAGAGCCUGUCUCACGGCGAUCCCCUCUUCAAGGUGCACUACCUUGGCACCAAGAAGAUCUUCUCCCUGGACUUGGAGCAGGCGGAGGAUGCCAUCGAUCGACUCCUGGAUGGAGCCCCUGGGAAGCUUUCUAAAGAUCACGCCCUAGUAGUGCGACCCCGAUACGUCGAAGUUAAAGAACUGAGCACCGGAAGGCAGCUCACCAAGACCUACUUGCAGGAUAUUGCGUACUGCGCCUCGCACACGGCCAGGCCCAAUGUGUUUCUGUACAUCUGCAGGCAGCCCGGUCAGCAGCUGCAAUGCAGAGUGUUCUGGUGCAGUCGGGCAGAAAGGGCGAAGGACAUGACAGCCUGCUUGGCGAUGUCGUUUCAGAGAGCGCUAAAUGACUGGCAGGGUGGAUGCGCCACGUUGCCGCAAGGGGAAGGGAUCACUAAAGAGCCAGAGAUUUCUGGUACGCCCACUGCAUCCAAAGGCUCAACAUUGCCAGCUAGUUUGGGAAAAGUCCGUUGGAAGAAGAGGGAGUCAGUGUCCCGCAGUCCUCUCCGUGCCAUUUCCAGAAGAGGUUCUGCCAGUGACAACUGGCAUUGAUGGACCCCGUCCCACCCUGAAGCUUGACCACAUUAAUUUUUUUGAUGCUUGGGAUUUUCCAGCAUGGAAUGUGAGGAAAAGGACAACCACACCUACAACUGGUGGAACGUUUGAUCUUUGAUAGAGUUUGCAACUCAAGUUCAGAGUCUGUAUUCUAAACAGCCACUGCAUUUGAGUUUACGGAUUUACCAAAGUGAUAAAAUGUAAGUUUCCAGAGAUCACUUUUUUUGGUUUAGGAAAUUGAUGGGUUCAGUCAUGCUGGUUUAAAUUUCAUCUCAGUUUGCUUAAGGACUAUGAGACACAACUAAAACUGCUAACCUGAGCUGAACUGGUAUCUAGUUUUAAAGCCAUGUAUGUAUCACAGAGUUGAGUUUUUCUAGUCAGUCUCCUCCUGUGUGUACACUACAUGUCUGGGUAGUUUGUUAAUGAGACUGAUGAGCAGUCAGACAGGCUUUGUUUGUAUUAGAGGUGUCAGGUGAGGAUCUGUGUGGGAAGUGGGUGGAUGCUAAAUGAUGGUAAACAGUAGGACCAGCACAUAAAAGUAAACGCUUUGGAAAAGUGUUUCUAUCCCAAAUGCACAAAGGAAGCAAUGGUUUUUAUGCUGUAAAUGGCAUUUUAAAGACAAUCAGUUUUAUUCUAAACUACUGUAUGCUUUCACAUGCUCUUUUUUUUUUUUUUUUUUAUAUGGCCAAAACCUUCACGCAUUAUUACCAAUGACUGAAUUAUAAUUACACCAUCAAUGUGACCAUCAUUCAUGGUGUAUUAUGUACUGCAUAAUUAUAUACUGUCUUGACAAUCAGGGCUGGUUGUAAUUUGGCGUUUUGGUACUGAGAUUCUUGUUUCUGGUUGUCUUUCAUAGCCAUAUAAUAUCCUGCUUUGCCUGGUUCUACCUCAGUUUGCCAUUUUUAUUCAGCUUUGAACUUAAAGCGUAAGUUCUAAUUCCAAACAGAUAAUGAAGAUUAGCAGUAUUGCUGUGUGCUUUUAAAAUGAGAUUAUUCUUUCUAUGCACCUGCAUUCCAGCAGUUUUUGAGGCCAUAAUGGCUCAUGCCCCCCCCCCCCCAUUUUUGGCUUGUUUUACUACAUCGGCCCAUUUUUCUUUGAGAAGGAAAAAAGCCCAAUAAGUCACUGUCUCCAGGCAACAGCUAAUGACGUCAGAAUGCUGACUGAUUCAAAGGUAUGCUUGUAUAGAGCGUCCUUGAAAAAGCAGCAUCUUUGCACUGCAGUUAUAUGUAGUUAUAAAUUGCAAGGAAGCAUUUUUAAGUGGCCUGGUUGCACAAACCAAGUAUUUUAAAGGAGGACACGCAUGACUGGAACAAUCAACAUUUCCUAGUACAAAAGAUUGUCCAGCACCUUAAGUAGCUAUUUCCCUAACACUGUUACAUACGCUCACUAAGAAUCGCAUCAUAUAUCACAGUAGUAUACAGUCGGUGCCUCACGGUAUUAGAAAUUCUGCCUCAUGUGUUAGGCCAAUUACAUCAAAGGAUUUCUUUUUUAAUUUUAUCCUUAUGGAUUUUAUUUAAAGUCGUAUUAAACCGUAUCUUGCAUUACAACGACCUCAGAUCUGUUGUUGGAUCUGUUCUGUCUGCUUUAUGAGGUGUUUAAUGUUCUAUGAAUGUUCUUGUACCUUCUUUUAAACCUAUUUUUGUGUAGAUAUUUAAAUAUUAAAUGUAUUUUAUGGAAUAUUAAACUUUCUAUACGUGAAACAUUUGUGUCUUGUAUUCUAUUAAUUUAUUAAACA
rnacentral:lncRNA from 1 species